rnacentral:rRNA from 1 species
AGUGAACGCUGGCGGUAGGCCUAACACAUGCAAGUCGAACGGCAGCACAGUAAGAGCUUGCUCUUACGGGUGGCGAGUGGCGGACGGGUGAGGAAUACAUCGGAAUCUACUUUUUCGUGGGGGAUAACGUAGGGAAACUUACGCUAAUACCGCAUACGACCUACGGGUGAAAGCAGGGGAUCUUCGGACCUUGCGCGAUUGAAUGAGCCGAUGUCGGAUUAGCUAGUUGGCGGGGUAAAGGCCCACCAAGGCGACGAUCCGUAGCUGGUCUGAGAGGAUGAUCAGCCACACUGGAAGUGAGACACGGUCCAGACUCCUACGGGAGGCAGCAGUGGGGAAUAUUGGACAAAGGGCGAAAGCCUGAUCCAGCCAUACCGCGUGGGUGAAGAAGGCCUUCGGAUUGUAAAGCCCUGUUGUUGGGAAAGAAAAGCAGCAGGUUAAUACCCCGCUGUUCUGACGGUACCCAAAGAAUAAGCACCGGCUAACUUCGUG